rnacentral:rRNA from 1 species
UGCUAGUUGUACGAGUUUAGACUCGUAGCAUAUAGCUCAGUAACACGUGGCCAAACUACCCUACAGACCGCAAUAACCUCGGGAAACUGAGGCCAAUAGCGGAUAUAACUCUCAUGCUGGAGUGCCGAGAGUUAGAAACGUUCCGGCGCUGUAGGAUGUGGCUGCGGCCGAUUAGGUAGAUGGUGGGGUAACGGCCCACCAUGCCGAUAAUCGGUACGGGUUGUGAGAGCAAGAACCCGGAGACGGUAUCUGAGACAAGAUACCGGGCCCUACGGGGCGCAGCAGGCGCGAAACCUUUACACUGCACGACAGUGCGAUAGGGGGACUCCGAGUGCGAGGGCAUAUAGCCCUCGCUUUUCUGUACCGUAAGGUGGUACAGGAACAAGGACUGGGCAAGACCGGUGCCAGCCGCCGCGGUAAUACCGGCAGUCCAAGUGAUGGCCGAUAUUAUUGGGCCUAAAGCGUCCGUAGCCGGCCGGACAAGUCCGUUGGGAAAUCGACGCGCUCAACGCGUCGGCGUCCAGCGGAAACUG